AGUUACACGUACGAAAAAGCAGUCCCCUUAUACAAAAAAGGAUUUCUCAACACCAACGUUAAACCAACCAAAAACACCACGUACAUUAUGAAAAAAAUCACGCAUUAAAAGAAAUAUAGCUACACGUGCAAAAAAAGAGUCCUCAACACCACAUGCAAGUUAGUUCUAAAACCAAAGUUGUACCUAUCGCGUGCAAAAGAAGAAAAAAGAGAAUCCACUGUCCC
rnacentral:lncRNA from 1 species